rnacentral:lncRNA from 1 species
UCUGCAUCAAUAUUUGGCUGGAGUUUAAGUUGCCAGGAGGUAAAGGCUAUUUUGGUUUAAUUGCUUUUAUAAAAGCUUCAUGUAAUGCCAUAUCCUGUUAGGUGUUUCAUAAAGAUGUUUCAUGAUUGCAUGCACUUAACAUCAGAUACCGGUUAGGUGCUUUAAAAUAGUAGCUAAAUACUUUUACGUAUGCAAAUAUUGAGGGGUUGGAAAAACACCAUCUUUAUUCUCAGAGUCUACCAAUUAAGAUUUAUUGAUCAUAAAAUAUUUAUACAGUCGUAGGUUAAGAUGCUAUCUUAAUAGUCAUAAAGUCUGGUUAGUAACAUGGAAACUGUUUAUGAUCUAAUAAAAGUAGCCACUCUUCAUUGAGUACAUACUGUACAGCAGGAACUUUAUAUAAAUCACCUCAAAGUUUCUCAACCAAACCUCGAGGUAUGUAUUUUGUCGUCCUCAGUGUACAGAUGAGGAAGUAGAAGUUCACACAGCUUAGGGAGCUUUUCCACUGUUACUUAACUAAUAGACGGUAUUGAAGAUUGAAACUAGGGCCUUUGACUUUCAAGUUCAAGAGUUUUGACUUCACUAGCCAAUAUUAACACAAUUGAAAGAAUUGGAAUGCGAAGUUUGCAUGUGAAAUGAUGCAUGGUUUAUAAUACAAGGUACAACUAAGAAAGUAAAGACUCGAUAUGGCAGUGAGUGGAAUUAUCAGGAAUUUGCUCUCUUUUUCAAAAUUUUCUUAAUUGUUUUUGCAAGAAUUAACAAUGGAAAAAAGAAAGGAAAAGUAAAAAAGAGCUGGAACAAGUUCAACAUUGAGGCACUCAUUUCUUUUACAUGAAAGGACUUGGAUUAAUUGGAUGAACUUUGUAUAAUUUAAUUUUUCUUAGGGGAAGCAUAUAAAGACCUGCUCAGGACUAAGUAGGCAUGGUUGUUAAAGGAAGUGAACGUCUCGAUGACAACCUAAAAAAGAAACUGAUAAGAAAUAAGAUGAGCCUCAAAAGACUGGUAUUAUUAUGUUUUUAAUAAUGAAGGCAUUAGCACUGCAAUUGUUAGAAUUUUAUCUGUUCUAUCGUGAAAUAAGGAUCUAGAUAGUAUGCAGUAAUUAAAGAUUGACUUUGAUUUAGAUAAUCCAUUUUAAUUGCAUUUUUAAUUGUAGUGAAAAUUUCAUGAAGAACCAUCUAAAAAUGCUGAUGCAGAAGGGUAGCUAAUCAAGAUCACGCCGUUAUAUUUGAAUUACUAGAAAGGGACCAUGAGUGGUUAAGUGUAAAAUACAUCUCUCAAGUAACACACAAGUCCCUGUAAUCUCAUCUCACCUUCUGGGAACAAUGUAUAACAAAUUAAAGCUGGUUCAUGAAAUGUCAUACAAUCUGGCAGCAAGAUUCUAAUUGAUGAAGAAAUGGCUAUUUUAAUGAUUCUUUAACAACCAUAGAAAAUUUCCAAUUACUGGGAACCGUGACAAAAACUACCUUAAGGGGACAAAAUAAUUUCUAACAGUUUUUUCAACCAACUCAGAGGCCCCAGUGGAUGUUUUCAGACCUGUUCUCUCUUGUUUUAUUAGUUUGGUUGAAUGGAUGGGCAGCUGAUUUCUACUGUGAAUGUUUAAAAAAUUAUGUACAAAAUUAGAAAACAAAACUUGCAGUUUCCAGAUUUGCCUACGAUCGCAUUUCCCAUAAACUCAGCAAUUGAUGUUACUCUUGAAAUGAAUUUUGACGUGUGAAUUUGGGUUCAACUGGUGCCUCUGCCCUCCGUUUUGGCCUCUGCAUGCCAAUUCCCAUUGCAGCAUGUAUCACAUUGUACUUUUGGAACAGAAAUUUAUGUUUGAUCUUCCCCGGUAGGCCAUGGGGCACCGUGUGUGUUCAAUACAUAGUUUGAUAUUGAAUAGAUUAUGACUUUCCUUUUUAUUAAAAUUAUGGAUGUUGUAAUAUAUGUUGAUCUUGUAAUAUCUCUAUGUCCUUCCCACAAAUGUGUACACACACAUGCAUAGACACAAUUUUAUUGUAUCUAUCUGUCUAUCUAUCUAUCUAUCUAUCUAUCAUCUUCAUUCUGAAUAUUCCAGACAUUUCAGGGUGUAUCUGUAACCUACCUAUGAGUCUGGUUUUAUGUCUAAU